rnacentral:misc_RNA from 1 species
AGAAAUAANACCGAUAAAUGAGUUUUUAUACACAAUUGAGUAAACGAAUCAAGUUAAACUUGUAUUCCCAUUGCGGAAGUGGAACAAAGAGCCUUCAAAAGGGAAUCGAGUCCGCGCACUACGAUAUCCAGCGGUGANUUGUCCUACGCACGCGCAUUUGCNGCAACCAAGAUGGCGGCCNCCAGUGAAGAUCAAGUCAAAAACUUAGAAAAACAGCUGAAAGAAGCUGUUGAAAUCACUCUUGAUCCUCUAGCAGCCUCGCAACNACGUGCUAAUGCUUACGAGUUNGUCGAGCAGUUCAAGAACGCUUCACCGCUGUGUGCAGAUGUAGGGCUUCGUCUUUUUAACAAAGAUAACUCGCCGAUUGUUCGACAUCUGGGCCUACAACUGCUGGAACACUGCGUCAAGUUCAAAUGGAACACAAUGGAAAGUCUCCAACAUGAGAGCUUAAAGUGCACAUCCCUANAAUUGAUUGUCAAUGGCACAAAACCGGUAUUGGAGGAGCCCCUUCAUAUUAAAGAGUCAUUAGCCAGAUUAGUAGUUGAAAUAAUUAAGAGAGAAUGGCCACAGAAGUGGGAAUCACUCUUACAAGAUUUAACAAUGAUCUGUAAUAUGGGGGACACCCAAAAAGAGCUAGUAUUAAUGGUGUUUCUACGACUGGCGGAGGACAGUAUCAGUAUGGACAGUCACCUACAUCAAAACAGAAAGAGAGAAAUCACUCAAUGUCUACACCUUCAUAUGGAAGAGUUUUUCUCUUUCUUUAUUGAAACAUUGAGAUCAAGUACAACUGCUAUGAUUGAUACGAAAAAUAAUCCAUCUUCUCUUAAUGGAUCAAAGGCACUAAUACACCAAAGAGUUGCAGAACAGGCGUUAAUGACGCUGCAAGGAUUCCUUGACUGGGUAAAAUUCAACAUCCUCUUCUUACAAGAUUGUAUUCUGCUUCAAAUCCUGUGCUUGCUGUUAGAUGAAGAACCACUUAAAAUUCCCGCAUGUGAAUGCUUGCUCAUUAUAGUCAGCAGAAAGGGAAAAUUUGAUCAAAAACUUGAAUAUGGUCGUCUGUUCAGUCACGAUGCCAUGCAGUUUAUGCACAAAGCUGCAGGUCAAGCAUGUAAUUCAGAGUAUGACGAGAAGGAAUACUUGUUCUUGAAGAGGUUGUGCCAGGUUCUGAUUACUUUAGGAUCAGUACAGUUAUUACAGAUGUGGAGUAAAGAAAGACCAAAAGGCAAACCAGAAACCUUCAAACAGUACCUUGAANCCAUUCUUACCUUUACUAAACAUGGCAGCUUGGCUUUGUCUCAUUUGACCAAUGGUUUGUGGCUGACCCUCCUGAGAAAUGACAUCAUGGUUGCUGAUGAUGAUGUAAAAGCUGUUAUGCCAAUCCUACUACAAAUGGCAAAAACCAAAAUCCUGAGGGUGGAAGAUCCCAAUGCCUCUGAUAGUAUCUUUAAUAGGGAAGACUUCAAUAGCACCAAGGAAUUUCAAUCUGUAUUUACACAGGUAAGGGCUCAAGCCAUGGAUAUCAUUAGGUUAAUAGCGCUUCAGUUUCCUGUUGAAACAUUCUUCAAAGCAGCUGAAUGGUUACUAGAUAAUGUUGAUAAGACCAAAGCUGGAUUCUCUUCAGCAAAUCCUGUACAAGUAAAUGAGCUAAGAGUCCAAUGGGAAGGUUGCUGUUGUUACAUGUCAGCUGUGAUGUCUAAACUGUUCAUGGUGGACAAUGUUAAUGAAUUGCUCAAGAAGGAGUUCAUCUUCAGAGGGGUGUCGAUAAAAGUUUUGGAAUUGGCAAAAAACUGUAUUAAAUCAUUAAUCUUGGUUGAUGUGUCUGUGUGCAAUGAUCCAAGUAUCUUAACCAAUGUUGUGGACACCAUCCAGUCAUUGUUGAACUUCUUAACAUACUCUAAAGAUCUUAUCCUGGAAGUACUGAAGAAGAUCUUUUCUCUUGUAACAUACAACACCACCGGAGAAGCAAAGGGACCCUGGACUCUGGACGUCUUACACACUCNCCGCAGAGCAUGUUCUGCACUUCUUACCAUGUGCCGUAGCUAUGGCAACCUUCUUGUUCCCAUGUUUGAUGAACUGAAGCAAUACGUCAGUUCCUUAUUUGAAGGAGAGCUUGUCACAAUACAAGAUAGAACUACCCUAACUGAAGCUUUAGUCAUCGCAAGUAACUUUGUAGAAAGUACCACAAGAACUAGUUUCAUCUUGAGUCUGUUGAGCCCUCAUGAAGAUUUUCUAAUUAAUAAAAGGAAUAUUAUCUCAGUCGAAUGGUUGAUAUCCUAUCUUGGGAUGAACUUGGAUCCUGCUAACUAUGAAACAUCAGAAGAAAUUUCCAAACNGCGGUUCAAGCUAAUGUUGGCUUUNACAACAAUCCUUGCUGUCGUCAGAAGGUGUAGGCUCCUAGAAACAGCACAAACUAGCAGCAGCAGUGAAAGAUGCUCCAUUGGGUUGAUGCCUGAUGGCAGCACAUCUCAUGCCUGCAACCCUUGUAUCUCUCAUGUUCUGCCGUUUUUGCCUGGUCUGUUUAUUCUAACCCAGGCAGUUAACAAGCUUCAAGGAACUGAAUCAAAACCUCUAAUAUUCCCAGCAUACAUUGCAUCACUUGCUAUGCACGACUCAGAAAAAACUGCCAUAUUUGCGUUGCAAAAUUCAAGUGAAGGUGACAGAGCUGGUGAAGAAAACAAUGCAGUCACAAAAACCAAACGAUAUAUUUUUCACCUCACUGACUCCUGUUACACCAUCUUGGGGUUGCUAGGUGACAUGAUGGGAGCAGAGCUGUACAANCAGCCAGGACUUGCACAGUUUCUCAAUGAACACAUUAUUAAUUCUCUACAUCAUUUGCCAAACUACAGAAUGAGAGUCGUAAUUCGGCAUUUUAUCAAGGUAUUCAUCACUUGCUGUCCUGAUCAGUAUUAUAAAGACACCCUAGUUCCAGUUCUGUCAAACUUCUUUAACUUCAUGUUACAGCAUCUAGAAAAUGAAUGGCAAAAAGUCAGGUCAAGAAAAAUUGAAAGUGCUUCAGAUGUUGAGGAAGAAAAGGAUGUCUUUUCCCAAGAAAUAUUGCUUGUACACUCAACAAUCAGAUGGACUCCUCGCAAACUGAAGAAGAAGCUGAGCCAAUGAGAGACGAAGAGGAGCAGGAAGCAGAAUCUUCAAAGAAAACCCAAGCUACAACAGAAGCAAAACUUGGUCCUCUUGGAGAAAUCCUGAUGCAAACGGCGAGUGUAAACAUGCAACUCCUGAGUACAGUAUUUGGCAGUAUGACAUGGCUGGACUCUACGGCAUGCAACAAAGCUGCAAAACUCACUA